GGUCAAGCGAACAAGUGCAUGUGGUGGAUGCCUUGGCGAUCACAGGCGAUGAAGGACGCGGUAGCCUGCGAAAAGCCCCGGGGAGCUGGCAAACAAGCUUUGAUCCGGGGAUGUCCGAAUGGGGAAACCCACUCCUUUUGGAGUAUCCAUAGCUGAAUACAUAGGCUAUGUGAAGCGAACGCGGUGAACUGAAACAUCUAAGUAACCGCAGGAAAAGAAAUCAACCGAGAUUCCCAAAGUAGUGGCGAGCGAAAUGGGAUGAGCCUUGUACUCUUUAUUUGUAUUGUUAGCCGAACGCUCUGGAAAGUGCGGCCAUAGCAGGUGAUAGCCCUGUAGGCGAAAACAGUAUGAAAGAACUAGGUGUACGACAAGUAGGGCGGGACACGUGAAAUCCUGUCUGAAGAUGGGGGGACCAUCCUCCAAGGCUAAAUACUCGUGAUCGACCGAUAGUGAACCAGUACCGUGAGGGAAAGGCGAAAAGAACCCCGGGAGGGGAGUGAAAUAGAUCCUGAAACCGCAUGCAUACAAACAGUCGGAGCCUCGUAAGGGGUGACGGCGUACCUUUUGUAUAAUGGGUCAGCGACUUACGUUCAGUAGCAAGCUUAACCGUAUAGGGCAGGCGUAGCGAAAGCGAGUCCGAAUAGGGCGUUCAGUUGCUGGGCGUAGACCCGAAACCAGGUGAUCUAUCCAUGGCCAGGAUGAAGGUGCGGUAACACGUACUGGAGGUCCGAACCCACUAACGUUGAAAAGUUAGGGGAUGAGCUGUGGAUAGGGGUGAAAGGCUAAACAAACCUGGAAAUAGCUGGUUCUCUCCGAAAACUAUUUAGGUAGUGCCUCGUGUCUCACCUUCGGGGGUAGAGCACUGUCAUGGUUGGGGGGUCUAUUGCAGAUUACCCCGCCAUAGCAAACUCCGAAUACCGAAGAGUGCAAUCACGGGAGACAGACAUCGGGUGCUAACGUCCGGUGUCAAGAGGGAAACAACCCAGACCGCCAGCUAAGGUCCCCAAAUAUGGCUAAGUGGGAAACGAAGUGGGAAGGCUAAAACAGUCAGGAGGUUGGCUUAGAAGCAGCCACCCUUUAAAGAAAGCGUAAUAGCUCACUGAUCGAGUCGUCCUGCGCGGAAGAUGUAACGGGGCUAAGCCAUAUACCGAAGCUGCGGAUGCG
rnacentral:rRNA from 1 species